rnacentral:lncRNA from 1 species
UAACCAUGUGACGUCAUCAAAGAAGCGGAGUAAUUGCAAACGAGAAUCUCAUUGACGUCUCGUUUCACUGAACUUUGUCAGUAUUCAGUGCGAUCAGCCAAUUUAAGUAUUUCUUCAUUCACUCAGUAUUUUGUCUGUCAGUAAUUGAAUUCUACUUCGAAAAUGUCUAGUCAAGUCCAGUCUCUGCAGAAACAACUCUCCCAGUUACGCCAGGAAGCUAGUAUCUCUAGAAUUCCUGUGUCGCAAGCUAUAGAGGAUUUGCUGGUUUACAUGAACGAACAUGCAACCCAAGAUGCAUUGGUUAUAGGGGUAAAUCAGUCAGAAAACCCCUUCAGGGACCAGAAGAGUUGUAUUAUAUUAUGAGCUGAAUAUCAAAAUCUAGAGAUGCAUUUGUAAAUGAUUUAUUUAUCUGACUUACCACGACUUGUAUAUCAUCUACCCGUGGCCUCCUGUGUUCAGUCUUCAAAUGUUGCAUUGCUCUACAGAUCUGGUCUACAGAAUUCAUCCUUUUCCCUACCUAAAACUCCACCCACCCAAUUUUUGCCUAGUCAGGGGUUUAGGUUUCACUGCUGUUUUUUUUUUUUAUAUUUAGUUUAUAUUUAACAAUCAUGAUAUUGCUACACUUGUGUAAACUGCUGUAGAGUGAUUAAUUUACUGUAAAACAUUUUGUCGAAGUCUAUUUGAAAUUUUCUCAAGUCUCCAUUUGGUUUUAAAUGUAUAAUUUUUUUCCAUUUUUAGAAUGCUAUUUUAGACGAUUUGUUGUCAGUAUUAAAAAAAUAACAAACAAAAAAAAUUAAAACAAACCCCAAUUAUUUAUUAAAGCAAUGUUCAUCAUACUU